UAACAAGAGACAGACCUGGACCUGGAAA
rnacentral:piRNA from 1 species